UCGUAAACCCUAAACUACAUCGCCGCUUUCAUUCUUUUCAUAUCUUUGUGUUUUCUCCUCUCCAUUGAAGUCGCUUCGAUUCUUUGAGAAUUGAAUCAGAGAGAAGCAAUGCAAAAUAAGGGUUUUAUUUGCCAGCUUCCUUACCAAACCCUAACACGCCCCCAUCUUUGCAAUCUCUCCAUCUAUCAUCUUCGCCAUUUCUUUCCUUAAGAUAAUGGUUUGUUGUUCAAAUCCAUUGUAAAAAAAAGGUAUGAUUUUCAUUCUCAUCCCAAACCAUACAUAGAGAAUCAUCAAAGCAUCAAUCAAUUCGAGGGUCUUGCUUAUGCUCUGUAAUAAGUGAUGGCAUAUUAGGUGAUGAAAGAGUUGGUGAAGAGUUGCUCACAACCACCAAUAACCAUGUCGGCCAUCAACGAUGGGAGUUGGAUCAUGACAAAAAUCGCGUGUUUGAUCAUAUGAGUGAAUGUUGGUGCUGAUGUGGCGCAAUAUUAGAGCUCCUCAUUCUUGGUUUUGGCUCCAAACUACCGGGUUCUUUUUUAUGAGUGAAGCCCCAUUUCGCAAUACCCGACCCCCAAUACGGUGAUGGAUCCUAUAAAAUCAUUUCUUUUUUUUUCAUUCACCUCCUCACUUUUCAUAUUUCUCUUCAUGUUCUCCCAUAAACCCUUUAAACAACGGAUGUGUUUUUCUGUAUAUUCAUGUAUCUUCACUUUCUCCCAUAACACCCUUUAAUCAACCACCGUUUAUUAUCAGUAUCUUCAAUGUCUUCAAUCUUCUAAAAAAGUUAUGUAUAUAUGAGAUGUUUAUGUUAUUGUUUUUUUUAUUCUGAUUCACCGAUCUUCUUUUUUUUUGUUUCUGUGAUCAACAUCUUCUUUUGAGGUAUUGUUUUGUAUUUUUCUUAUUAUCUUCAUCGAAUUUGAACUAUAUGCUUUCCGAUGUUUAUGGAAACUUGAUUUCCGAUCGAUUUGAAUAUUGUUAACCGCUUAUUGUUUUGUUAUUAAUUGCAUGUUAAUUUUCGCCGAUCGUUGUCGCCCAUGUAUUCAUUUGACAAAAUCUAGUAGAAGAACAUCAGGUAACUAUUCAGCUUCCCCGAUUUUAAUCGCGUAUCUAAAUUUUUAUCAAUAUUUUCUUGGUUUUUUUUUGUUUGUGAUUGAGUUACAAGACACCGACACAGACGAUGCUGAUGAUUCUGAUCCUAAUUAUGUUGAAUCUAUGGACGAUGAGUCGAAUGAUGUUUCUUCACUUUUCGACGACUCUGAUAGUGAUGUUGUUUCUACUGAUGGAAUGUCCGAUGAAGAUGAUGAGCAAGAUAGGGAUUCACCAGAUUAUCAUAAAGUUGAUCCAGACAAUCAUCCUAUAGAGUUCAUAUGGAAAUUUGACAGGCGUUUUAAUUGACAUGACUAUGAAGAUGUGUGUACAAAACUUCUCUGGUGCUGAGAAAAUGGUGGUGGUUUUCGUUAUUAUGCUUCAGAAUGGCGCAAGAAGUUUACAAAACCAAAUGGUAUAAAUCAUCCAAACAAGUGCGUCUUUGUUUAUUGUGCAGUUCAAAACAAAUCGAUUCUGAAGAAGGUGUUAAAGUAGUUGCAUUUCCUGGUUCAAUGCAAUCUAAUGAUCAGUUUUUUUGGAUGUUAUGUUAAUACCAAGUAGUUGGGUUUGUUAUCAGUACUAUAUAAUCAUCAGUUGUUUUUUGUUACGUUACCACCUCUUUUUGAAUGUUUUGACAUUAGUAUUUAUGAUUUCGAAUAUUUGUUCAAAUUAUCACGAUAUAUACUAUGCAUAUUGUAAAUAUACUAUGUGA
rnacentral:lncRNA from 1 species